rnacentral:lncRNA from 1 species
GGGUGUGGUGGUGGACGCCUGUAAUCCCAGCUACUCGGGAGGCUGCAGGAGGCUGAGAUGGGUGGAUCACCUGAGGUCAGGAGUUCAAGACCAGACUGGCCAACAUGGUGAAACCCUGUCUCUACUAAAAAUACAAAAAUUAGCUGGAUGAGGUGGUGGGUGCUUAUAAACCCAGCUACUCAGGAGGCUGAGGCAGGAGAAACGCUUGAACCUGGGAGGUAGAGGUUGCUGAGAUCACACCACUCACUGCACUCCAGCCUGGGCGACUGUGCUCUCUGUGCUCUCUGAAACAUGUGCUGUGUCCACUCAGGGUUAAAUGGAUUAAGGGCGGUGCAAGAUGUGCUUUGUUAAACAGAUGCUUGAAGGCAGCAUGCUCGUUAAGAGUCAUCACCACUCCCUAAUCUCAAGUAUCCAGGGACACAAACACUGCGGAAGGCCGCAGGGUCCUCUGCCUAGGAAAACCAGAGACCUUUGUUCACUUGUUUAUCUGCUGAGCUUCCCUCCACUAUUGCCCUAUGACCCUGCCAAAUCCCCCUCUGCGAGAAACACCCAAGAAUGAUCAAUAAAAAUAAAUAAAUAAAUAAAUAAUUCCAAAAAAAAAACGCUGGGCAUGGUGCCUCACACUUGUAAUCCCAGCACUUUGGGAGGCUGAGGCACGAGAAUCGCUUGAACCCGGGAGGUGGAGGCUGCAGUGAGCCAAGAUUGCACCACUGCACUCCAGCCUGGGCCACAGAGUGAGACCCUGCCACAAAAAAAAAGUAAAAAAUUAAACUCAUUAGUCAAGCAUGCUAGAUAUUUAUAAGUCCUAGUUAUCCUUGACUAUGUAAAACCCAGUAUUAUCAUACAUUAAAUAUCAGACACAUAUUACAUGUAGCAAUCAAUCUUAAAUGAAGACUGAAGACUUAGAUGGCAGCAAGGAAACUUAAAUUUACGCAAUUAUGAUUCGUGAUUCCAACUUUUCAAGGGGAUUAAGGAUGCUAUGACUGAAGACUCUAAUCCCUGUAAAUACCCAGGGCUCGCCUCACUCCUUCUUCCCUCUGUCAGCCCUUGUUUAUUUCCUUCAGAAUACUUGUUUCAGUCUAAAUUUCAAUAUUUAUCAAAUACCUAUACUCCCCACUGGAAUAAACUCCAUAAGGAGACCAUAAGAACACCUAUGUCUACCUUUGUAUCCCAACAUC